UACGUAGGCAGCAAGCGUUGUUCGGAGUUACUGGGCGUAAAGGGUGUGUAGGCGGUUGCUUAAGUUUGGUGUGAAAUCUCCCGGCUCAACUGGGAGGGUGCGCCGAAUACUGAGUGACUCGAGUGCGGGAGAGGAAAGUGGAAUUCCUGGUGUAGCGGUGAAAUGCGUAGAUAUCGGAAGGAACACCAGUGGCGAAAGCGACUUCCUGGUCCAGCAUCGACGUCAGGCACGAAAGCGUGGGGAGCAAACAGG
rnacentral:rRNA from 1 species